CAUUCUGGUCGCACUUCAACAUGACCUUUAUCCCCAGGCUCUGACGUGUGGUCUCAAAAGCCUGGGCCGCCUGCUCCAGGGGGAAGCGGUGAGUGACCAGAGGCUUCACGUUCACCUUUCCUGACGCCAACAUGGCGAUUGCCAUAGGCCAGCUACAACACAAUAUAGAGCAGGCUGGAGGGCAUGAAAUGAGAAGGACUACACAGGAGGCCUCAGCUGUGUAUGUUCAGCAGAGGGCUUUUCGACACAAAGGAGCCUGAUCUACUAAAGGUGUAUACCAGUAUACCAGUUGGCCACGGAUAAUUUCUGGCGACGUACCUGUCUGGAAGCAGCGCUAACUGUCCCAAGUCGUGACCUGGGGUGGACCACACCUCCAUGUAUCAGUGGUGACGUUUCUGCGUUGUUGGCUUGUCUACAUGGAAGAAGAUCCCCAUACGACCCUCU